UACGGAGGGUGCGAGCGUUGUCCGGAAUCAUUGGGCGUAAAGGGCGCGUAGGUGGCCCCUCAAGCGUGCGGUGAAAGUCAGGGGCUCAACCCCUGAUCGGCCGUGCGAACUGGGGAGCUUGAGCACUGUAGAGGCGGGUGGAAUUCCGGGUGUAGCGGUGGAAUGCGUAGAGAUCCGGAAGAACACCAGUGGCGAAGGCGGCCCGCUGGGCAGUGGCUGACGCUGAGGCGCGAAAGCUAGGGGAGCAAACAGG
rnacentral:rRNA from 1 species